GUACACCACGACAGUCACCAACACUCAUUUUUAUGGGUCAAUCACGAAGAUAAAUGCUCUAUAAAUGAAACUUUUAGGAAUGAACAUCUACGACCGAUAUGGUGCACCAUCAUAUGGUGUGUAUGAUAUAGAAUAUAGUUUCUAUCGGAUGUUAUGCAUUAUUGCAUCAUUUUUCACAUUAUAAAUUUUUUUCUAUAAAAUUAAACCAAGGAUA
rnacentral:lncRNA from 1 species